UAAAGUCAAAUUAAUUGGUUAAAGCUAAUAAAUAACUACUAUAAAGUACAACAACUCUACUUAUUAUUGUAAGAGUAAAAUCUUUAUAAAUAAGAUAGGAAUGUGUUAAUGUAACAUUAAUUCUCUUACGAGGCGCUAGCAUAAAGACUAGGAUUAGAUACCCUAUUAUGGGCGUGAGUAUGAAAGUUUAUUAAGUUAAUAGCCUUAAUUAAAGCAAAACCUAUUUACUAUGGCGGCUGUUAGUCUCACCAGAGUCGUAUGUCCUUAAACGAAACUGCGCGAUCAUCUUACCUUUUAACUUUUGCUAAUAUAAAAUAAUUACAUUAUAGCAAUCUGGCACGUCGCUGUACUAAAAGUGAAGAUUUUAAAUAACUCAUCUUCUAAUUACUUAUUAGCAUUUAUUAAUAACGUACAAGUCAAGACGCCGUUUUAAGAGGCUUAAGAUGUACGAUUUAAUUGAUUUGAUAGAAUUUAUAAGAAUGAAAACUUUCUUUAUUAAAAUAAUUUGGAAGUAAAAUAGGGUUAUUAUUCUUAUUUGAAAUGAGCUACUAAUAAGU
rnacentral:rRNA from 1 species